UACACAACCUUGAGCUACUAGUUUGGCCAUGUUCUUUAGCUGUUGGGGAUAGUCUUUCACAAAGUGCUGAGUGUUUUCGCACUAAUAGUACAUUUUGUUCAAAUGCCAACAGGGCUGAUCACUAUGCAAGCAUCCACAAUACUAACAUGGUUAGAUAGGUCGGGCAGGGUGUCUAGCAGGUAGAGGUAAAGCAGGGGAAGGGGCAAC
rnacentral:lncRNA from 1 species